CUAACCUAUUCAUGACAGGAUAUACCCAGCCCUGUCCAGCCUCUACCCUCACUUCACCUGGUCUAACCUAUUCAUGACAGGAUAUACCCAGCCCUGCCCAGCCUCUACCCUCACUUCACCUGGUCUAACCUAUUCAUGACAGGAUAUACCCAGCCCUGUCCAGCCUCUACCCUCGCUUCACCUGGUCUAACCUAUUCAUGACAGGAUAUACCCAGCCCUGUCCAGUCUCUACCCUCGCUUCACCUGGUCUAACCUAUUCAUGACAGGAUAUACCCAGCCCUGUCCAGUCUCUACCCUCGCUUCACCUGGUCUAACCUAUUCAUGACAGGUCUGGUCUAACCUAUUCAUGACAGGUCUGGUCUAACCUAUUCCUGACAGAUCUGGUCUAACCUAUUCAUGACAGGUCUGGUCUAACCUAUUCAUGACAGGUCUGGUCUAACCUAUUCAUGACAGGUCUGGUCUAACCUAUUCCUGACAGGUCUGGUCUAACCUAUUCCUGACAGGUCUGGUCUAACCUAUUCCUGACAGGUCUGGUCUAACCUAUUCAUGACAGGUCUGGUCUAACCUAUUCCUGACAGGUCUGGUCUAACCUAUUCAUGACAGGUCUGGUCUAACCUAUUCCUGACAGGCCUGGUCUAACCUAUUCAUGACAGGCCUGGUCUAACCUAUUCAUGACAGGUUUGGGUAAAUAACAGGAGAAAUGUGAUAACUAAAACACCAGAGAACUGGGGAGAAAAUAGGAGUCAACAUCAUAAACUGACUGACAUACAAUGAGUGUACAAAACAUUAAGAACACCUUCCUGAUAUUGACCCCUCCCCCCUUUUGCCCUCAGAACAGCCUCAAUUUGUCGGGGUAUGGACUCUACAACGUGUUGAAAGUGUUCCACAGGGAUGCAGUUGUGUCAAGUCGGCUGGAUGUCCUUUGGUUGGUUAACCAUUCUUGAUACACACGGGAAACUGUUGAGCGUGAAAAACCCAGCAGCGUUGCAGUUCUUGACACAACGGUGCGCCCGGCACCUACUGCCAUACCCCCUACCAUACCCACUACCAUACCCUGUUCAAAGACACAUUUUUCUUGCCCACUCACCCUCUGAAUGUCCCACAUACACGAUCCAUGUCUCAAUUGUCUCAAGUCUUAAAAAUCCUUCUUUAACCACUGAUUGAAAUGGAUUUAACAAGUGACAUCAAUAAGGGAUAAUAGCUUUCACCUGGUCAGUCUAGGGGCGGCAGGUAGGCUAGUGGUUAGAGCGUUGGACUAGUAACCAAAAGGUUGCAAGAUCAAAUCCCAGAGCUGACAAGGUGAAAAUCUGGCGUCCUGUUCCUAGGCCGUCAUUGAAAAUAAGAAUUUGUUCUUAACUGACUUGCCUAGUAAAAUAAAUGUCAUGGAAAGAACAGGUGUUCAUAAUGUUUUGUACACUCAGUGUAUAUGUAAAUAAAUGAAAUGUAAACACACAUUGAAAUGAAUUGCAAACCCAUUGAAGUGAAUGUAAUGUAUUUCAAUACAGGGUAUUACAUCUGUAAAAACUAAUCAAUCACUCACCACCAGCAUUUACUACAGGACUGAGUUCACGUCUCCGUGUUUCACAGCUGUGUUGUGAUUGGAUACGUUUUGCAGUUCUAGGCUCUCAUUGGAUGAUUUUGCUAGUUGUGGGCUUUCAUCUCACUCUGUGUCACUUGUUCUCAUUGAGUUAUUUGUUGUAAAUGGUCGCCAGCUGUUACUGUGUUAGAAUGUCCUAUUAGGUCUCUGUUCUGUCUGUCACUCUGUCAGACUGUCCUAGCAGGUCUCUGUUCUGACUGUCACUCUGUCAGACUGUCCUAGCAGGUCUCUGUUCUAUCUGUCACUGUGUCAGACUGUCCUAGCAGGUCUCUGUUCUGACUGUCCUAGCAGGUCUCUGUUCUGACUGUCCUAGCAGGACUCUGUUCUGACUGUCCUAGCAGGACUCUGUUCUGACUGUCCUAGCAGGUCUCUGUUCUGACUGUCCUAGCAGGACUCUGUUCUGACUGUCCUAGCAGGUCUCUGUUCUGACUGUCCUAGCAGGACUCUGUUCUGACUGUCCUAGCAGGUCUCUGUUCUGACUGUCCUAGCAGGUCUCUGUUCUGACUGUCCUAGCAGGUCUCUGUUCUGACUGUCCUAGCAGGUCUCUGUUCUGACUGUCCUAGCAGGUCUCUGUUCUGACUGUCCUAGCAGGACUCUGUUCUGACUGUCCUAGCAGGUCUCUGUUCUGACUGUCCUAGCAGGUCUCUGUUCUGACUGUCCUAGCAGGACUCUGUUCUGACUGUCCUAGCAGGUCUCUGUUCUGACUGUCCUUGCAGGUCUCCACAGCAUUCUGGGAGUACUGUUCUGUCUGUAAAGUGAAAUCCCCUGGUUGCUCGUUUUAUGUUUUCUAUUGUAAACAAUGAGAUGCUUUUGGAAUAAAAGUCUAAAGCAAAACAUUCCA
rnacentral:lncRNA from 1 species